GACGAACGCUGGCGGCGUGCUUAACACAUGCAAGUCGAGCGGUAAGGCCCUUUCGGGGGUACACGAGCGGCGAACGGGUGAGUAACACGUGGGUGACCUGCCCUCAGCUCUGGGAUAAGCCUGGGAAACCGGGUCUAAUACUGGAUAUGACUCCAUGACGCAUGUUGUGGGGUGGAAAGCCUUGUGCGGCUGAGGAUGGGCCCGCGGCCUAUCAGCUUGUUGGUGGGGUGANGGCCUACCAAGGCGACGACGGGUAGCCGGCCUGAGAGGGCGACCGGCACACUGGGACUGAGACACGGCCCAGACUCCUACGGGAGGCAGCAGUGGGGAAUCUUGCGCAAUGGGCGAAAGCCUGACGCAGCGACGCCGCGUGAGGG
rnacentral:rRNA from 1 species